UGGGGAAUAUUGCACAAUGGGCGAAAGCCUGAUGCAGCAACGCCGCGUGAGUGAUGAAGGUCUUCGGAUUGUAAAGCUCUGUCUUUUGGGACGAUAAUGACGGUACCAAAGGAGGAAGCCACGGCUAACUACGUGCCAGCAGCCGCGGUAAUACGUAGGUGGCGAGCGUUGUCCGGAUUUACUGGGCGUAAAGGGUGCGUAGGCGGAUGUUUAAGUGAGAUGUGAAAUACCCGGGCUUAACU
rnacentral:rRNA from 1 species